AGCAGCCGCGGUAAUUCCAGCUCCAAUAGCGUAUAUUAAAGUUGUUGCAGUUAAAAAGCUCGUAGUUGAACUUCGGGGUCUACCCAUUGGUCAGGCUUAAUUGUCUGCACUGGUGAGAUGGAUCUCUACCUUCUGAGGAACUUUCAUGCCAUUUAUUUGGUGUGAUGGGAAAUCAGGACUGUUACUUUGAAAAAAUUAGAGUGUUUAAAGCAGACUAUCGUCUGAAUACAUUAGCAUGGAAUAAUGAAAUAGGACGGACUGAUUCUAUUUCGUUGGUUUCUAGGAUCACCGUAAUGAUUAAUAGGGAUAGUUGGGGGCAUUAGUAUUCAAUUGUCAGAGGUGAAAUUCUUGGAUUUAUUGAAGACUAACUACUGCGAAAGCAUUUGCCAAGGAUGUUUUCAUUAAUCAAGAACGAAAGUUAGGGGAUCGAAGACGAUCAGAUACCGUCGUAGUCUUAACCAUAAACUAUGCCGACUAGGGAUCGGACGAAGUUAAUUUUAUAAUGACGCGUUC
rnacentral:rRNA from 1 species